GGGAUUGCGCAGUGGCAGUGUUGUCGCCAGUGAGGUUUAUCCAAGGUGUGAUUAUUGCCGAUUGAAAACUCUUCCCACUACCCUGCCAUGAUGACUUGAAGUAUAGUCGACAUUGGCAGUUUCUCACAGUCUUUAUGGAGA
rfam:Chlorocebus sabaeus isolate 1994-021 chromosome 11, whole genome shotgun sequence.